UUGACCUCUGAUCAGUUGGUGCUGUCCGCUGAAC
rnacentral:rRNA from 1 species